GAUGAACGCUGGCGGCGUGCCUAAUACAUGCAAGUCGAGCGAACGGACGAGAAGCUUGCUUCUCUGAUGUUAGCGGCGGACGGGUGAGUAACACGUGGAUAACCUACCUAUAAGACUGGGAUAACUUCGGGAAACCGGAGCUAAUACCGGAUAAUAUUUUGAACCGCAUGGUUCAAAAGUGAAAGACGGUCUUGCUGUCACUUAUAGAUGGAUCCGCGCUGCAUUAGCUAGUUGGUAAGGUAACGGCUUACCAAGGCAACGAUGCAUAGCCGACCUGAGAGGGUGAUCGGCCACACUGGAACUGAGACACGGUCCAGACUCCUACGGGAGGCAGCAGUAGGGAAUCUUCCGCAAUGGGCGAAAGCCUGACGGAGCAACGCCGCGUGAGUGAUGAAGGUCUUCGGAUCGUAAAACUCUGUUAUUAGGGAAGAACAUAUGUGUAAGUAACUGUGCACAUCUUGACGGUACCUAAUCAGAAAGCCACGGCUAACUACGUGCCAGCAGCCGCGGUAAUACGCAGGUGGCAAGCGUUAUCCGGAAUUAUUGGGCGUAAAGCGCGCGUAGGCGGUUUUUUAAGUCUGAUGUGAAAGCCCACGGCUCAACCGUGGAGGGUCAUUGGAAACUGGAAAACUUGAGUGCAGAAGAGGAAAGUGGAAUUCCAUGUGUAGCGGUGAAAUGCGCAGAGAUAUGGAGGAACACCAGUGGCGAAGGCGACUUUCUGGUCUGUAACUGACGCUGAUGUGCGAAAGCGUGGGGAUCAAACAGGAUUAGAUACCCUGGUAGUCCACGCCGUAAACGAUGAGUGCUAAGUGUUAGGGGGUUUCCGCCCCUUAGUGCUGCAGCUAACGCAUUAAGCACUCCGCCUGGGGAGUACGACCGCAAGGUUGAAACUCAAAGGAAUUGACGGGGACCCGCACAAGCGGUGGAGCAUGUGGUUUAAUUCGAAGCAACGCGAAGAACCUUACCAAAUCUUGACAUCCUUUGACAACUCUAGAGAUAGAGCCUUCCCCUUCGGGGGACAAAGUGACAGGUGGUGCAUGGUUGUCGUCAGCUCGUGUCGUGAGAUGUUAGGUUAAGUCCCGCAACGAGCGCAACCCUUAAGCUUAGUUGCCAUCAUUAAGUUGGGCACUCUAAGUUGACUGCCGGUGACAAACCGGAGGAAGGUGGGGAUGACGUCAAAUCAUCAUGCCCCUUAUGAUUUGGGCUACACACGUGCUACAAUGGACAAUACAAAGGGCAGCGAAACCGCGAGGUCAAGCAAAUCCCAUAAAGUUGUUCUCAGUUCGGAUUGUAGUCUGCAACUCGACUACAUGAAGCUGGAAUCGCUAGUAAUCGUAGAUCAGCAUGCUACGGUGAAUACGUUCCCGGGUCU
rnacentral:rRNA from 1 species